ensembl:lncRNA
GCUGAAGCCAACAGAAGCCCAGCUGACUUUGAGAUAUAUAGUAUCAUCCGACAGGUGAAUGAGAAAAUGUUUCUAGCUUUAGGAGUGAGAUACGAGCACAUUUCAGAAUUUAGCGACUUCAUCUACAAUGUUGUGUGAUAUGUAUUAACGAACAAAAUACUAUUUUUUUUCCCACAUAUUUUUGGGGAACCUGUCGCAUUCUUCACAGGACUGAGUUUAUUUCACAUCAGGGCAACUCAAUUUGUUUGUAGUUGAAGCAGCAAUAGCCCGAAGUGCGAGAGGCUCAGACUGAAGUAUUUCAGAAAAAGAAAGAGAGAAAGAAAGAAGAAAAAUAAGAACAGCGCCAACAUCAGAAGAGGCCUUUAACAUCCAUCAAAGCGUCUUCCAGCUUUUCAUCUCGCCCAGACUAUCUAUACCUGUAAUUAGGUUUGGGUGAGGGAGAAGAUGGAUUUGGUUUGCAGCACCAUGCAGAGAAAAACAAGACAUCAGGAAGUCCUUACCGCUGUUCUGGGACCAGCCCUUAAUGGGUGUCUAAUUGACCUGGUCUGUCAUGUGGCCAUGGCUUCAUGCGGUCGGGGGGGCAGUUAUCUAUAUGUGUCAUCCUGAGAGGAUUAGCAUUAGUAGUGCGUCUGUCU